rnacentral:rRNA from 1 species
UACGUAGAGUGCAAGCGUUGUCCGGAAUUAUUGGGCGUAAAGAGCUUGUAGGCGGUUUGUCGCGUCUGCUGUGAAAUUUCGGGGCUCAACCCCGAACUUGCAGUGGGUACGGGCAGACUAGAGUGUGGUAGGGGAGACUGGAAUUCCUGGUGUAGCGGUGAAAUGCGCAGAUAUCAGGAGGAACACCGAUGGCGAAGGCAGGUCUCUGGGCCACUACUGACGCUGAGAAGCGAAAGCAUGGGGAGCGAACAGG